GACGAACGCUGGCGGCGUGCUUAACACAUGCAAGUCGAACGAAGUGGCGAACGGGUGAGUAACGCGUAAUCAACCUGCCCUUCAGAGGGGGACAACAGUUGGAAACGACUGCUAAUACCGCAUACUGAAGGAGGGGAUUGCGUGUGAUUAGCUAGUUGGCGGGGUAACGGCCCACCAAGGCGCUGAUCAGGAGCCCGUCUGAGAGGAUGAAAGGCCAAAUUGGGACGGAGACCCGGCCCAGACGCCUACGGGAGCCAGCAGUGGGGAAUCGUCCGCAAGGGACGAAAGUCUGACGGAGCAACGCCGCGUGAGUGAUGACGGCCGUCGGGUUGGAAAGCUCUGUUAAUCGGGACGCGGUACCGGAAUAGAAAGCAACGGCUAACUACGUGCCAGCCGCCGCGGUAAUUC
rnacentral:rRNA from 1 species